rnacentral:rRNA from 1 species
UACGUAGGGUGCAAGCGUUGUCCGGAAUUAUUGGGCGUAAAGAGCUCGUAGGCGGUUUGUCGCGUCUGCUGUGAAAACCCGAGGCUCAACCUCGGGCCUGCAGUGGGUACGGGGCAGACUAGAGUGCGGUAGGGGGAGAUUGGAAUUCCUGGUGUAGCGGUGGAAUGCGCAGAUAUCAGGAGGAACACCAAUGGCGAAGGCAGAUCUCUGGGCCGUAACUGACGCUGAGGAGCGAAAGCAUGGGGAGCGAACAGG